rnacentral:lncRNA from 1 species
GUGGGUUCAGGCUCCUUGGGGGUUGUAGGUUCAGGCUCCUUGGGAGUUGUGGGUUCAGGUUUCUUGGGAGUUGUGGGUUCAGGCUCCUUGGGGGUUGUGGGUUCAGGCUCCUUGGGCGUGGUGGGUUCAGGCUCCUUGGGAGUUGUGGGUUCAGGCUCCUUGGGCGUGGUGGGUUCAGGCUCCUUGGGAGUUGUGGGUUCAGGCUCCUUGGGAGUUGUGGGUUCAGGCUCCUUGGGAGUGGUGGGUUCAGGCUCCUUGCGGGUGGUGGAUUCAGGCUCCUUGGUGGUGGUGGGUUCAGGCUCCUUGGGGGUUGUAGGUUCAGGCUCCUUGGGGGUUGUAGGUUCAGGCUCCUUGGGCGUGGUGGGUUCAGGCUCCUUGAGAGUGGUGGGUUCAGGCUCCUUGGGAGUUGUGGGUUCAGGCUCCUUGGGGGUUGUAGGUUCAGGCUCCUUGGGAGUUGUGGGUUCAGGCUCCUUGGGAGUGGUGGGUUCAGGCUCCUUGCGGGUGGUGGAUUCAGGCUCCUUGGUGGUGGUGGGUUCAGGCUCCUUGGUGGUGGUGGGUUCAGGCUCCUUGGGAGUUGUGGGUUCAGGCUCCUUGGGGGUGGUGGGUUCAGGCUUCUUGGUGGUUGGAGGUGGUUCCUUGGGAGUUGUGGGUUCAGGCUCCUUGGGAGUGGUGGGUUCAGGCUCCUUGGGGGUGGUGGGUUCAGGCUCCUUGGGAGUUGUGGGUUCAGGCUCCUUGGGGGUGGUGGGUUCAGGCUUCUUGGUGGUUGGAGGUGGUUCCUUGGGAGUUGUGGGUUCAGGCUCCUUGGGAGUGGUAGGAACUGGUUCCUUGGUUGUAGUAACAGGCUUCUUGGUAGUAGUGGGAGCUGAGUUCUUGGGAGUUGUAGAUGUGGGCUCAACAUCUUUAUCAGAUGUUUUCUCUGCACUCCGUGUCUCUUUAGCUGAAGUCGUCUUUUUUUUACUGGCAGAAGAUUGUUUAUUUGUUGCAGUAGUCUCUUUCGUUUCAACUGUUGUCUCUUUAUUGGAUGCUAAAGAUGCCUCUUUGGAUGUCUCAGAAUUAGGUGCAAGACUGGGUUUAGGAGUUACUGGUUUUGCUGCUGUAGUCUUGGGAGAUGUGGUGACUUUGCUGUGUGGAGUAGUAGGAGGGUCAGGAGGAGGUGGGGUGAGCUUGAACUCACCAUUAUCCAGCCCGCUUCCAGCUUCAUCCAC